rnacentral:rRNA from 1 species
CGGACGGGUGAGUAAUGUAUGGGGAUCUGCCCGAUGGAGGGGGAUAACUACUGGAAACGGUAGCUAAUACCGCAUAACGUCGCAAGACCAAAGAGGGGGACCUUCGGGCCUCUUGCCAUCGGAUGUGCCCAGAUGGGAUUAGCUAGUAGGUGGGGUAACGGCUCACCUAGGCGACGAUCCCUAGCUGGUCUGAGAGGAUGACCAGCCACACUGGAACUGAGACGCGGUCCAG